rnacentral:rRNA from 1 species
AUUGAACGCUGGCGGCAUGCCUUACACAUGCAAGUCGAACGGCAGCACGGGUGCUUGCACCUGGUGGCGAGUGGCGAACGGGUGAGUAAUACAUCGGAACGUACCUUAUCGUGGGGGAUAACGCAGCGAAAGCUGUGCUAAUACCGCAUACGCCCUGAGGGGGAAAGCGGGGGAUCGCAAGACCUCGCGCGAUUAGAGCGGCCGAUGCCUGAUUAGCUUGUUGGUGGGGUAAAAGCCCACCAAGGCGACGAUCAGUAGCUGGUCUGAGAGGACGAUCAGCCACACUGGGACUGAGACACGGCCCAGACUCCUACGGGAGGCAGCAGUGGGGAAGUUUGGACAAUGGGGGCAACCCUGAUCCAGCAAUGCCGCGUGAGUGAAGAAGGCCUUCGGGUUGUAAAGCUCUUUUGUCAGGGAAGAAACACCGGCUCUAACACAGUCUGGGAAUGACGGUACCUGAAGAAUAAGCACCGGCUAACUACGUGCCAGCCGCCGCUGUAA